UGGGGAAUAUUGCACAAUGGGCGAAAGCCUGAUGCAGCAACGCCGCGUGAGUGAUGAAGGUCUUCGGAUUGUAAAGCUCUGUCUUUUGGGACGAUAAUGACGGUACCAAAGGAGGAAGCCACGGCUAACUACGUGCCAGCAGCCGCGGUAAUACGUAGGUGGCGAGCGUUGUCCGGAUUUACUGGGCGUAAAGGGUGCGUAGGCGGAUGUUUAAGUGAGAUGUGAAAUACCCGGGCUUAACUUGGGUGCUGCAUUUCAAACUGGAUAUCUAGAGUGCAGGAGAGGAGAAUGGAAUUCCUAGUGUAGCGGUGAAAUGCGUAGAGAUUAGGAAGAACACCAGUGGCGAAGGCGAUUCUCUGGACUGUAACUGACGCUGAGGCACGAAAGCGUGGGUAGCAAACAGGAUUAGAUACCCUGGUAGUCCACGCCGUAAACGAUGAGUACUAGGUGUAGGAGGUAUCGACCCCUUCUGUGCCGCAGUAAACACAUUAAGUACUCCGCCUGGGAAGUACGAUCGCAAGAUUAAAACUC
rnacentral:rRNA from 1 species